rnacentral:lncRNA from 1 species
GACUACAUCUAUGUAAGUCUUUGCAUUGACCGGAAGACUUCCAUGUAAGUCGUCUACAGCCAGACGUACUUCAUGCGUUUUAGUUAUCUCGAGCAAGUUCCGAACUCGUCUAUCACUUGUAACAUGAAUAGGAGGAAGGUCUGGAGCCAUAUUUUGUAAUGAGUAGGUUAACUCCACAGACUCUAUGUUCAUGUCCAGGUUAUAAUCUUCUUGAGCCAUUGCAACAAGAUCAACAUGUGUCGAACCUUCACUCAAAAAUAACAUUCUCGCUCUUUUGAAAUGAUCAACCACAAAAUUCCAAUAUCCAUCUUUCAACAACCACUC